UCCGGUCUGUCCUAAUUUGUCACUCCCUGUACUCACUCAACGGAGUACAGUAGCAUCCAGCCAUCCGUUGAUCCUUGCAGGAUUACUACAAUUAGCUAAGCACACAUCACCCUUAAGUGCGACUCCUCCACCACCUCGGUCCAAAAAGCAGCAGCACACAGAGCUGAAAAAGCUCUACUCCUACUGAGUAUUUUACGCCCAGCAGGUUUGGUAAAACAACACCAUGCAAAGCAUAGUAGAUCAGAUGGAUUCUCGCACGGCUUUUAACCGAAGCCAAACAAGGACCAGCAAAUAAAGGAGAGUAUAUCAUCGCUGCUGCCCAUUCGUCUUUCAUUCCACCCUCCAUUAGAUCGGUAACCGCGAAGGCUUUCUCGGCCGACGAGCCGCCGGCCGGCCGACGCUGGCUGGAUAUAUAUUGUGGCUGUUGGUUAUUUGAAGCGCCUGGAGAAAGGGGGGGCCGGGAAAGAAAGAGGUGCCGUUGCUUUGCCGAAAAGAGGAGCUCGCUUUGCAGCCUUGCACUGUGCAGGCCACCCAGGCCAAGCAAGAGGAGAGGCGUUUGCUCCAGUGGAUGGAUGGAUGGAUGGAUCCCAGCAUCUUUCUUGUAACUAGUUUCGUCUUUUUUUCGUUUUCUAUGCUCUGCAAAGACUGUUAGCCCUUCUUUUGUCAAACGGUUUUCUAAGUGAAUAUAACACAUAAGUACAGUCUCGCUGCUACAUUUCGGUUAGGACAGUGUCUCUGUUUUUUUAAGUAGAGUCACUGCUGCAGCCUGCUCUGUCCUGUAUCCAGGUUCGGUUUUACCCGCCUCAAGUUGUUCUCCUUUCCUAUUUCUUUCGGAGCUGGUACCUCCAAAAUUGAAAAUUCGUUCUCAUAA